CUACUGUUAAGUAUGCAUAAACUAUUAAAGAAUGUAGACUUAAUUACAACCAUAAUCAAUUGAAUUUUCACAAUUAUGUAAUACAUGUGUUUGCUAGAGAGGAAAAUAACGGUGCUUCUUUAAACUUCUCAUGUAAUUUUGAUUUAUUUUUUGUAUAUGCAUAUUACAAUAACAUUAGGUGUGCUUGCUUGUAAUAAUAAACUUUCAUUCAAAAUUA